AGCGAACGCUGGCGGCAGGCCUAACACAUGCAAGUCGAACGAACCUUUCGGGGUGAGUGGCGGACGGGUGAGUAACACGUGGGAACGUGCCAUUAGGUUCGGAAUAACUCAGGGAAACUUGUGCUAAUACCGAAAGUGCACUUCGGGGGAAAGAUUUAUCGUCUUUAGAGCGGCCCGCGUCUGAUUAGCUAGUUGGUUGAGGUAAUGGCUCACCAAGGCGACGAUCAGUAGCUGGUCUGAGAGGAUGAUCAGCCACAUUGGGACUGAGACACGGCCCAAACUCCUACGGGAGGCAGCAGUGGGGAAUCUUGCGCAAUGGGCGAAAGCCUGACGCAGCCAUGCCGCGUGAAUGAUGAAGGUCUUAGGAUUGUAAAAUUCUUUCACCGGGUACGAUAAUGACGGUACCCGGAGAAGAAGCCCCGGCUAACUUCGUG
rnacentral:rRNA from 1 species